rnacentral:rRNA from 1 species
UACGUAGGGUGCAAGCGUUGUCCGGAAUUAUUGGGCGUAAAGAGCUCGUAGGCGGUUUGUCGCGUCGAAUGUGAAAACCCGGGGCUCAACCCCGGGCCUGCAUUCGAUACGGGCAGACUAGAGUUCGGUAGGGGAGUCUGGAAUUCCUGGUGUAGCGGUGAAAUGCGCAGAUAUCAGGAGGAACACCGGUGGCGAAGGCGGGACUCUGGGCCGAUACUGACGCUGAGGAGCGAAAGCGUGGGAGCAAACAGG